rnacentral:rRNA from 1 species
CUGUGCGCGGAGCAGGGAGCGGCGGCCACGAGGGCGGCCGUCAUGCUUGUGCGGUGGGGAGUGCGGCGCGCUCGUGUCCAAAACUGUUCCUCCGCUCCUGAUCCUUCGCGUCAAUCCUCUCUCUCCCGAAACUAGCGCCUUUUUUGGAAGGCCUUAGAAGGACGGUAAGUCUGCCGCCCGUCCUCCCUCCGCCGCGCCGUGGCGGACUGGGCGAGCCGGAGCCCACCCCCCAAAGAAGAGCGCACCUGCUCUACCCGCGGCCGCCCUUCCGGCCCUUCCGCGCCGCCCGCCGCGCCCACUCGGAGACCCACCGCGCGCGGUCGUGGUGGCACGACGAGACCUGGACGCAGCACCACGACGAGCGCCGCCGGAAGCCCCUCGUGGACCGCGGGUCGCACGACCCGGACCCGCCCCAGACCAGGCCGACGGAGCGCGUCUGCGAGCAGUAGCACGUCGCGGGCGACGACGACGGCCGCCUGGCGCUCUCCCAGCGGCGGUGGCGGUGGCGGCGGCGGCGGCGCCAGCGCGAUGGCGACGGCGGGUUCGCUUAGAUGUUCUUGUUACCGAUAGACUACCACAGGACGUUACCGCCAGAGUUGGUCUACGCUCGGCGAUAUACACUAUACCACUGCCAACGUUCUAUGAACUUACAGUGUGAGUAGCACGGCCUCAACCUAUUUUGAAGUAAAACCCGACUAGGAUCACUCAAGGCUCUAUAUAAACUACACCUGAUGAAGUAUCGUAGUAACUCUCUACUCCAGGCCUAUGACUUUCUCGACGGAGGUUCCGACUUUUUCUCUCAACUUGUCCCCAUAGAAGCGAGGUACGGUGGGCAGUCGACCAGACUAUAUAGGAUAAUAGUAUUAGUCUAAAAUGGUUACUAUUUCUUCAUGUUCCAGGAAGUAGACUUAUUUUGUCUACGAGCCGAACGUUUAUUACCGGAUGGGUACCUCUAAGUCUUUGAAUCCACGGCACAGUUAAAACUACGUAACUCUAAAUGGGGACUUUAUCUUCUCGACCCGUCCGCACACCAAGUUUAAGAAGCAGUCUUACCUGGGAAACACCAAGAGGUGAACGCCAUACUCUACCUGUACGAACGGAAGAGGCCCACAUGUGUACCAACGUCGUUGCUCCUCCGGCUCCUCGAGUGUUCCUACUCUAUGCGAAUGGGUACCACCUUUCUCUUUCACUAGCUGAGGUUCCGCUUCUCCUUUCUGCCCGAGACAGGUAAUUGUGGUCUCCUCUAACGCUACCAUGAUUUCCGUGAGCUGUAACUAGCGGUAAUAGUUUAUAUAUAACGACGACCACUUUAUAUACCACCUGUUUCUUCUUACCGACGUGACUGGAGUCGAAUAGGGUUACACCAUUCUUUUCUCUGCAAUGACGGAAGCCCUGAGUCCAAAAAGGUCUUGGUAAGAAGGGUCUACCGUCGUAACCUAAUAUACCACAGGAACCUCUCACUACAAAAGUAGGGGUGAAUACUACCAUUGUACCGUUUUCAACAACUUCCGGUAGCGUCUAUGAACCCCAAGUUCUUCUGUCACGAUGAUCUGGCCUUUGAAUAUCAACUCGAGCAGCUACUCAUGUUUUUGCCGUGUAACUCGACCUGGCUAAAGAGGAGGAGACACUUCCGUAGUGUGUGCUCGGCGUACCCGCGCGGCAGGUCCUCCGUCCACUAAGGACUGUUUGGGUUCCUUCUCCUGAUGAAGAUACGGUUAGGAGUACUCACGAACGUGGUUGGUCUACUCGAUAGUCGAAAUACUAUGGGAGCCUAUAUGUGUGUAAGAAAGGUCUCGGUACCGGACCGGACCUAAUGUAAAGAACUCAUCCGUAUUAACCUCUAGAUCGACGUUAACGUAACUACCCCUGUCCGUGGACUCUCCCUAUUUACCACGGAAAACAAUCCACUAUUAUAUGUGUCUAACCGUACUAAAACGGUCAAAAAGUAGCAACAACAACAGCCUUAUUCGUCGUACACUAAAACACAACAUGUAUACUCGUAUCCCGAAUCUUCUUUUGGUGUGCGUGCUCAACCCCCCAAAGCCAAAGACAUAACUCGAACGUACACUACACUACGUAUAUAUGAGCAUGUAAGACUACCACCACCAGUCUUCGAGAAUAAGGCAACAUGUCUUAAACCUACUAAACCAACUUGACUACUAUAACCACAAAUCAAGACCCGCACUAAAAACAAUGACUUGCGUUACGCUUCAAGAAGCGAGCCAAAGACGGGUUCAUAUAACUAAAUCUAGGCACACCAGUCUAUGA